CUACGGGGUGCUGCAGUGAGGAAUAUUGCACAAUGGGGGGAACCCUGGUGCAGCAACGCCGCGUGGAGGAUGACGCAUUUCGGUGUGUAAACUCCCUUUAUAUGUCAAGAAAAUGACGGUAGCAUAUGAAUAAGCACCGGCUAACUCCGUGCCAGCAGCCGCGGUAAUACGGAGGGUGCAAGCGUUACUCGGAAUCACUGGGCGUAAAGGACGCGUAGGCGGGUUGGAAAGUCAGGUGUGAAAUCCUACAGCUUAACUGUAGAACUGCACUUGAAACUUCUAAUCUAGAGUAUGGGAGGGGGAGAUGGAAUUAGUGGUGUAGGGGUAAAAUCCGUAGAUAUCACUAGGAAUACCUAAAGCGAAGGCGAUCUCCUGGAACAUUACUGACGCUAAGGCGUGAAAGCGUGGGGAGCAAACAGGAUUAGAUACCCUAGUAGUC
rnacentral:rRNA from 1 species